AAUUAUUAUUAGAUUUUUAAAUAAUUAUUCACGAAAUAAAUUGAGCUAAAUUUUUGGUAUUUUUGGAAAUUAUAACUAUAUGUUACAAAAUAUAUUAACUAAAUAGAUUUAGGGGUGAAAGGCCUAUCAAAUUUUAUGAUAUCUUGAAGUAUAUAAAAUAUAUUAAGUAUUUCUAAUUCAACUAUUGAAUGUUUAGGUUCAAUAGUAACAUUAUAUUUUUUAAAAAAUUGUUCAAUUUUUUUAAGUAAAAUUGAGUUAGAGCAUAAAAUAUACAUCAAAUUUUUAUUAUAUGAAUAUAAAUAUACUACGGUUAUUAAUAAAUAUAAUCAUAUAUAAUGUAAUUAUUAGUAAUAGUUUAUUAAACUAUAUAAAGGAAUUCGGCAAGAAAAUUUUUCACCUGUUUAUCAAAAACAUAGCUUAUUGAAUAUCAUAAUAAGUAACCCCUGCUCAAUGGAAAUCUAAAUAGCCGCAGUACCUUGACUGUGCAAAGGUAGCAUAAUCAAUUGGCUUAUAAUUGAAGUCUGGAAUGAAUGGGUAAUCUGGAAAAUAACUGUCUUUAUUUGUAGUAUUUUGAAUUUACUUAUAAAGUGAAAAUACUUUAAUAUAAAUAUAAGACGAGAAGACCCUAGAAAUUUUUUGUUAAUAACUUUUGUUGGGGCGACAGGGUAACAUAUAAACUUACUUACAUUUAUAUAAAUCUUAUAAGGUACGUAACUAAAUUACUCUAGGGAUAACAGCAUAAUAUAUAAAAGUUUAUGACCUCGAUGUUGGACUAGGUAAUUAAAUAUUUAAAAGAUAUCUUAAUU
rnacentral:rRNA from 1 species